CGGGUGAGUAACACGUGGAUAACCUACCUAUAAGACUGGGAUAACUUCGGGAAACCGGAGCUAAUACCGGAUAAUAUUUUGAACCGCAUGGUUCAAAAGUGAAAGACGGUCUUGCUGUCACUUAUAGAUGGAUCCGCGCUGCAUUAGCUAGUUGGUAAGGUAACGGCUUACCAAGGCAACGAUGCAUAGCCGACCUGAGAGGGUGAUCGGCCACACUGGAACUGAGACACGGUCCAGACUCCUACGGGAGGCAGCAGC
rnacentral:rRNA from 1 species